CUGAAAUCGAAGAUUUUAUAAAGACAGGGAGGAGAAUUUUGGGGGAGAUUCCAUGAUAACUCGACGGAUCGCAUGGCCUUUGUACUGGUGACGCAUCAUUCAAAUUUAUGUCUUAUCAACUUUCGAUGGUAGGAUAGUGGCCUACCAUGGUGGUAAUGGGUGACGGAGAAUUAGGGUUCGAUUCCGGAGAGGGAGCCUGAGAAAUGGCUACCACAUCCAAGGAAGGCAGCAAGAGCGCAAAUUACCCAAUCUUGACACGGGGAGGUAGUGACAAUAAAUAACAAUACUGGACUCUUUCGAGUCAGGUAAUUGGAAUGAGUACAAUCUAAAUCCCUUAACGAGGAUCCAUUGGAGGGCAAGUAUGGUGCCAGCAGUCGCGGUAAUUCCAACUCCAAUAG
rfam:Arabis alpina cultivar Pajares chromosome 7, whole genome shotgun sequence.